UUCUUCAUUCCACCGGAUUCU
rnacentral:miRNA from 1 species